AUAAUAAUCUUGUGUUGUUUGGAGGAGUUAUUAAAUCGAUCUGCUAAGUAUAAACAUAAUACAACUAACUUUUAACAUUUUAAUUUAUAUGCAUAUUACAUAAAUAUUUAUGUUAUUAUAGGAAAAGUCCUAAAAGAUGGUAUAUUAGGCCAAUUUUCUUAGAAAGACCAACAUAUGGUCGAUACAGUAUCUUGCAAAAAGAACACCAGCUGUGCAAUACAUUACUAUAUGUGAAUUAUAUGAGAAUGGAUUCCACCUGUUUUGAAGAAUUAUUGUCUUUAGUUGGGCCUAACCUAGUUAGAUUAUGUACUAGGCCAGACUGCCUAUCUAUUGGAGAAAUUUUAUCCGCCACUGUCAGGUAUUUGGCUUCAGGUCAAAGUAUGACAGAUAUAACCUAUGCAUUUAGAGGCACUUGCAACAGCAUCUAAAUUUAUUUUUCAAUGUUGUUCGGUUCUAUGGGAAGUUCUUGCACCAAAAAUGUUACCCAUUCCUACCCAAAAAGACUGGGAAAAAAUUGCUCUUGAAUUUGAACAGAAAUGGAAUUUUGGAAAUUGUAUUGGUGCCAUUGAUGGAAAACAUUAUGUUCAUCAAUGAUGGUGGUGUAUUUAAAGAUAGUCUAAUUGGGAAAGGUCUUCUAAAUAAUACACUACAACUUCCCUGUCCAACGAAAUUGUCCUCUUCUACUGACUUGCAUCCAUAUUGCCUGGUAGGAGAUGAGGCAUUCCCACUGAACAAGUGAUAUUUAACUAUCGUUUAAAUCGUGCAAGAAGAACAAACGAGAAUACUUUUGGGUUAUUAGCAGCAAGAUGGAGGAUAUUUAGAAGGCCAAUUAUUGCCAGUGAAAAAACAGUUCAUGGUAUUAUUCAAGCAACUGUAGUGUUACACAAUUAUGUAAUCAGUAAUGAGAAACUGAAAGGUACUGACAAUUACUGUCAAUCAGUUCAUGACAAUCAGUUAACUACCAGGCAAGAAAGAUGAAAUAAUCAAUCAGGUGGUUUGUUGCCAGUUCUACAAAUGGGAUCGAUCUAAUAACCCCUCAAAGGAAGGAAAAGAUGUCCGAGAACAAUUUAUCAACUUCUCUGGAGAAGGAGCUCUUGAUUUCCAAUAUGAUAUGAUAUUAUAUAAAUUUAUCUUUUUAAUGUAAUAAAUAAAACAUAAAAAUUUUAAUUAAAGACUUUUCAGUCUAUGUCUCUAAACAAAUAUGAUGUAGUGUUGUCAAUAUAGAAUAAAAUCAAUAAGUUAUAGACCUAAUUGCUUAAUA